GUCGGCGGGGGGCCUUCCCUCGGAAGUCACUGGAGAUGCAUGUGUGAGCUGGCACUGCCGCACCCAUCACCGCUGCUGGGUUGCCUGCAGCUGCCUGUCUAAGGCGUCGUCACCCACACACAGGGACUGGUGUAUACCAUAACUGACGUGCUGGAGCUUCACCACUGGAUGUGUACCCAUUUUGAGGGACACCCCUUGUUUGAGCUGUGCCCCUGGAGGAGCUGAGUGAAGACCCCAUCGUGGGACAUCUAGGCACAUCAACCGAGGAGGGAAAGAAAGUUCUACGCAAUGGAGGGAAGAAUUUCCCAGCCAUCUUCCGGAGAGUGCAGGACCCCAUCCUCCAGGGACUGAACCCCGAUCCCACCCUGCCUGCGCACUGACUGCCUUCCCUGCUGGCCCCCAUCUUCCCAGGACUGGAAAGAAGAUCAGGCCUCCUGGGCCUUCCCAGCUGAGCCUGAGAGAGACAGCAACCUCUCAGAGAAGUUGGGGGGCAGCCGAGGGCAGAGCCCUGCUGUUUACAACUGCCCCAACUCCUCUCUGCUUGUCCCUCCACUGCCAGCAGAGAGCAAAAGGAGCUGACUGGAAAGGUCAAAGGACCUUGGACCAGAGGGGAUGGGGGGGGUCCUGCUCUCUUUUAGCACUCCCCCUGUGGGAUGCAGUGUUCCACUUUCUAAACUGCCUGCUAGGCGCAAAUCCCUGCCCACUAGUGUUUGCUUUGCAGUGCUGGGGAUAGCGUGAGUGUGUGUUCACGUGCCCAGCUGUUGUUUCUCAGGAGUGGGUAUCACGUGCCUUCCCCAGCCCCCAGCCCCAGCCCGCCCACCUAAGACUUGACCCCGGGGGAAAUCUGUGCUCCCUCUGCUGCUGCUCUCCCUGGAGAGUCCCUGGGAGGGUAGGGGAUGGAGACCCUCGCCUUGUCCAUAUUGGUCAUCGAUUCCAACACUUCAGAGCUGACCAACUGGCACAGAGCCUGGUAGGGGUGGGGAGGCAAGGAGCCAAGAGCUGAACUGGAGGAUUCUGAGGCUGAAGGCAGAAAGGGGCUACCACCCAGGAAGCCCCCCAGAGGGAACUGCGGCCCCUGGGCACUCGGAGCGCUCAGCCCUGGCCCCACCCAGCAGCCCCCAGAAAUCUCUGACUUUUCUAAUGUGCAAAGAAGUUCCUUUAUUUCUGCUCCUCAAGCCCCAGAUUCCCGUGGCUGGAAGGAGGGGUUUGUUGACCUUCAAGACACCCCUACCCCCCACCAAGAAUAAAAUAAAGAUGAAGGUGCCUGGA